ACUCCUACGGGAGGCAGCAGUGGGGAAUAUUGCACAAUGGGGGAAACCCUGAUGCAGCCAUGCCGCGUGUGUGAAGAAGGCCUCGGUUGUAAAGCACUUUCAGUAGGGAGGAAGGUAGUGUAGUUAACACCUGCAUUAUUUGACGUUACCUACAGAAGAAGCACCGGCUAACUCCGUGCCAGCAGCCGCGGUAAUACGGAGGGGUGCGAGCGUUAAUCGGAAUUACUGGGCGUAAAGCGCAUGCAGGCGGCCUGUUAAGUCAGAUGUGAAAGCCCGGGGGCUUAACCUCGGAAUUGCAUUUGAAACUGGCAGGCUAGAGUCUUGUAGAGGGGGUAGAAUUUCAGGUGUAGCGGUGAAAUGCGUAGAGAUCUGAAGGAAUACCAGUGGCGAAGGCGGCCCCCUGGACAAAGACUGACGCUCAGAUGCGAAAGCGUGGGGAGCGAAACAGGAUUAGAUACCCUGGUAGGAUAGCG
rnacentral:rRNA from 1 species